GCCGGCAGCCAUAUCACCCUGUAGCCCAAGACUGGUUGCCCACUGAAGCUAAGCAGGGCUGAGCCUGGUCAGUACCUGGAUGGGAGACCUCCUGGGAAAACUAGGUGGCUGCUGGAA
ensembl:rRNA 5S_rRNA 5S ribosomal RNA